UACGAAGGGGGCUAGCGUUGCUCGGAAUCACUGGGCGUAAAGCGCACGUAGGCGGCUUGCUAAGUCAGGGGUGAAAUCCUGGAGCUCAACUCCAGAACUGCCUUUGAUACUGCCGAUCUCGAGUCCGGGAGAGGUGAGUGGAACUGCGAGUGUAGAGGUGAAAUUCGUAGAUAUUCGCAAGAACACCAGUGGCGAAGGCGGCUCACUGGCCCGGUACUGACGCUGAGGUGCGAAAGCGUGGGGAGCAAACAGG
rnacentral:rRNA from 1 species